GAUGAACGCUAGCGGCAGGCUUAAUACAUGCAAGUCGAGGGGCAGCAGGUCCCGCAGCAAUGCGGGAUGCUGGCGACCGGCAAACGGGUGCGGAACACGUACACAACCUUCCUUUAAGCGGGGAAUAGCCCGGGGAAACCCGGAUUAAUACCCCAUAGUAUAUUGAAGAGGCAUCUCUUUAUUAUUAAAGAUUUAUUACUUGAAGAUGGGUGUGCGGCUGAUUAGGUAGUUGGCGGGGAACGGCCACCAAGCCUACGAUCAGUAACUGGUGUGAGAGCACGACCAGUCACACGGGCACUGAGACACGGGCCCGACUCCUACGGGAGGCAGCAGUAAGGAAUAUUGGUCAAUGGACGAAAGUCUGAACCAGCCAUGCCGCGUGGAGGAUGAAGGUCCUCUGGAUUGUAAACUUCUUUUAUAU
rnacentral:rRNA from 1 species